UGAUGAUUCAGGAAUGGGAUAUUAGAACAUUGAAUCCUGGUAUCCUAGUGUGGUACUGAAAUAUUUUAAAUUUUAGAACCCGAAAUAUGUCCAUUAUGCACACAUUUUAUAGGUACAGUGAAACAGGCCAGCGAUUUCUAUGCUAAGAUACCAUAUUGUACAUUUUCAUCUUAUAAAACAUUUACAAACUUACACUUCGCCUUGACAUAAACUGAACCAACAUAUCCAUUUUAAUUGCUUUCUCUCGGUUUCUGAUCGGCCCCCGAAGGUUCUCCGACAGAUUCAUCUCAUCC